CAAUAAAGAACAGCCAAUAAUAAUCUACAUUUGUCAAAAACAAGACCAACAACAACCUCUGGACAGCGAGCGGACAAAUCCGUCAGGAUCAAAUUUGUUUGGUUUCAGAAGAUCCCGUCACGAUUCUCCGUUUCGACCACCAGAGAUCAAAACCUCCAGUCAGGACCACCGCAUGCUCGAGUGCAGACGCUCCAGAGGUAUCUGGGAAGGUUGUGUGCCAAAACCAAGUGGAGGAGCGGAGAACCCGUGUCGGGGGCGGAGCCAGACUGGAAAAAGGAGGGAAAGGACUCCAUUGUCCUCUUUGGAACGAGCAGAGUGAGAAGUGAUAAUUAACCGGUAAUUAAUUUGCUGCUCUUUAUCUCAGAGCGGCGUGUGUUCGGCUAAAGAUUAGCAGAGCUUUUAAAUAAUAAGCGGCAGAGUUUGAUUCUGCUUCCUCCCAACAAACGAGCCGCUGUUUGUUUGUUUGUUUGUCUGCUGAUCCGUUCACGGAGAGGCUUUCCCGGGUUAUUCUGGGAGCUGCUGGGAGGGGGGGCCGCACACCUGACAUCACAACACACCUGAUAAUUACACAUGAAUGGAGUCGGCGCCUUCGCUCACUCAUUGUGUCUAAAAGUGAGUCGGAGAUGAAAGAGGUUCUGCUGCAGGAGCUCCACUUCUGAGGACAGAAACAGACGUAAAAACACACACGCCUCUACUUACCGCCUGUUUGUGUCUAUUUACCGUCUGUUUGUCUCUACUUAACGCCUGUUUGUGUCUAUUUACCGUCUGUUUGUCUCUACUUAACGCCUGUUUGCAGCUGCAGUCAAACACAAACAAUUAGGUCAAAGUUAGAACAUCAAAUCCGUGUUUUUGACCAAACAGAGACGCGUUUGAAUGACUUCUGCAGACAUGAAACAUGACGUGAGUGACUUCCGGGUCGUACAGAAUGGAGAGCGUUCCUUCAGUCCAAAAAUGCUUCAUUUGAAGGAAGACUCGGGCCCUUGAGGUCCUGCAGAACCAAACCCAGAGCACUGCUGCCAUCUACUGGCCCAGAUGCGCAUCAGGUCAGCGGCGUUACACAACACCCCCACAAAGACGGGACAAAAAGCCUCAUAUUAGAAUCAAUUCGCUCCAAAUAAACAUUUUUGUGGAGCUAUUUUUACUUUUUAAAAAUGUGUCAA